rnacentral:lncRNA from 1 species
CUUUUAAAAUUUUAAUCAAAUGAAAAUAAAUAUUUUACUUCUUCUCAGGUAUAAGUUCUGCAUUGCGCAAGAAAGUUAAAAGCUUGAUUUUCACUAUUUUAACUACAGGUUGUCCUUAUUUAAACUGUUUUUUUUUUCAAAACAAAAACCUGAAAAUAGUAUUGAACUAAAGCUCACGAAAAUGGACUUGAGUGUUGGCAUUAACAAUAGUCCUGAAAAAAUGGUUGCUCCAUCUAUAACUCAAGAAACAUCCAACACUGUCUUGGAUUAUCUAAAUAUUAAUGGAAGCAUUGUAUCCCUCAAAAAUCCAGA